rnacentral:rRNA from 1 species
UAGGGAAUCUUCCGCAAUGGGCGAAAGCCUGACGGAGCAACGCCGCGUGAGUGAUGAAGGCCUUCGGAUCGUAAAACUCUGUUAUUAGGGAAGAACAAAUGUGUAAGUAACUAUGCACGUCUUGACGGUACCUAAUCAGAAAGCCACGGCUAACUACGUGCCAGCAGCCGCGGUAAUACGUAGGGGGCAAGCGUUAUCCGGAAUUAUUGGGCGUAAAGCGCGCGUAGGCGGUUUUUUAAGUCUGAUGUG